AUUGAACGCUAGCGGGAUGCUUUACACAUGCAAGUCGAACGAGUGGCGGACGGGUGAGUAAUAUAUCGGAACGUGCCCAGUAGCGGGGGAUAACUACUCGAAAGAGUGGCUAAUCCCGCAUACUAUUGGAGCGGCCGAUAUCGGAUUUGCUAGUUGGUGGGGUAAAGGCUCACUAAGGCAACGAUCCGUAGCUGGUUUGAGCGGACGACCAGCCACACUGGGACUGGGAAACGGCCCAGACUCCUACGGAGGGCAGCAGUGGGGAAUUUUGGACAAUGGGGGAAAGCCUGAUCCAGCCAUCCCGCGUGUAUGAGAAGGCCUUCGGGUUGUAAAGUACUUUUGGCAGGGAAGCGGUAUCUGCAGAAUAAGCGCCGGCUAACGACGUGCCAGCAGCCGCGGUAAUAC
rnacentral:rRNA from 1 species